AAAUAAACCUGAUGGUACGAAAAGCCUCCAAUUUUUUCAAUUGGAGCUUGUAGGGACAGCAGGACUGAAC
rnacentral:sRNA from 1 species